UAUGCUUUUAUCACGAAUUAGAUCCCAAAAAAAAUCACAAAGAAAUUACCAUAAACAUAAACAUAAAGCAACACAAAGAACACAUAUUUAAACAACAAAAAUCCUUAUUCAUGCAUUAUAUAAAGUGAAUUUGAGGUCUAAAAGGUGUAACCUGGCCUGAAGUGAAUACCAACGGUGUAAGCUUUUCCUUUCCUUUUGCUCCUCUUUAUUUUGUGGUUCCGACUCUUCUUCCUUUUCUGUUAUUGCUGCUAGGUACCCUGGAAUUGAUGGAGGUUGUGAUGAUGAAUUUUUUGAUUAAAGGGUUGUUCUGUUUUUUUGGGACUCUGUUGUUUCUUUUUAUUUUUUUUUGCGUCUGCUGAUUCUCUCUCAGAUUUUCUGUUUGGAUUCUUGUUUUUUUUUCUUACU
rnacentral:lncRNA from 1 species